GUGGGGAAUAUUGCACAAUGGGCGAAAGCCUGAUGCAGCAACGCCGCGUGAGUGAAGAAGUAUCUCGGUAUGUAAAGCUCUAUCAGCAGGGAAGAAAAUGACGGUACCUGACUAAGAAGCCCCGGCUAACUACGUGCCAGCAGCCGCGGUAAUACGUAGGGGGCAAGCGUUAUCCGGAUUUACUGGGUGUAAAGGGAGCGCAGACGGCACUGCAAGUCUGAAGUGAAAGCCCGGGGCUCAACCCCGGGACUGCUUUGGAAACUGUAGAGCUAGAGUGCUGGAGAGGCAAGCGGAAUUCCUAGUGUAGCGGUGAAAUGCGUAGAUAUUAGGAAGAACACCAGUGGCGAAGGCGGCUUGCUGGACAGUAACUGACGUUCAGGCUCGAAAGCGUGGGGAGCAAACAGGA
rnacentral:rRNA from 1 species